CGAGGUCUCUGCUAAUUCUCUCUCUUGUGAUGACUUAGCGGGAAGGAACAGUUGCAGAGCACAGCUAGGUGCCUUUCCACCGGCUGUGAGGGAACAUCUCUGUUGCUUUCAGUGCUGAGGAUGUCUGCUCGCCAGAAGGCCUGUGUUUCCUAGGCAGCUCAAGCUGGUGGGAGUCAUUUCUGCGAUGCCAGUGUUCCUUUCAUGAGUCUGCCUUAGCUCAAGGCAAAGAGCGUGAGCCUAUUUGAGACCGAAAUGCUAUUCUGCACCACGUUGGAUCAACAAGUUGAUGGCAGUAAUCAAUCAGCUUAUUAUUAUUGGAAAUAAUUUUGGCUAUAAGCCAAACCCUGCAUUACAGCCUUGAGGAUGUUUCCGUGCAGCAUAAGAUCUGGAAAGCAUUCAGGGUGGCUUAGCAGGAUUUCCACAUGGCUCCAGAGAGCAGAUAUUAUGGAAACUCUGCAACCUUCUGAACAUAGCAUGCUCUCCUUCUUUCUUGGCAUUUCAAACCUGUGAGGCUUCAUGAUCAAAGCCUUAGCACACCCCAAAUAAUAAAGGAAUCACCAGACACUCUACCUUGAUGUCAGGCUCCUGUUUCCCACGUAAUUUUU